AUGGAAAGCUGGGGGCAUGCCAAACACAUGCAUGUCGAGCAGAGCGGCGGACGGGUGAGUAAUGCCUAGGAAUCUGCCGGGUAGUGGGGGAUAACGUCCAGAAACGGGCGCUAAUACCGCAUACUAUCAGAUGAGCCUAGGUCGGAUUAGCUAGUUGGUGGGGUAAAGGCCUACCAAGGCGAAGAUCCGUUAGUGGUCUGAGAGGAUGAUCAGUCACACUGGAACUGAGACACGGUCCAGACUCCUACGGGAGGCAGCAGUGGGGAAUAUUGGACAAUGGGCGAAAGCCUGAUCCAGCCAUGCCGCGUGUGGGAAGAAGGUCUUUGGAUUGUAAAGCACUUUAAGUUGGGAGGCGUUACCAACAGAAUAAGCACCGGCUAACUUCGUGCCAGCAGCCGCGGUAAUAC
rnacentral:rRNA from 1 species